ACGGAGGGUGCAAGCGUUAAUCGGAAUUACUGGGCGUAAAGCGAACGUAGGCGGUUGUGUAAGUCAGGGGUGAAAUCCCACGGCUCAACUGUGGAACUGCCUUUGAUACUGCACGACUUGAAUCAGGGAGAGGGUGGCGGAAUUCCAGGUGUAGGAGUGAAUUCCGUAGAUAUCUGGAGGAACAGCAGUGGCGAAGGCGGCCACCUGGACCGGUAUUGACACUGAGGUUCGAAAGCGUGGGGAGCAAACAG
rnacentral:rRNA from 1 species